AGAUGCACCACACAAAUCUCUCU
rnacentral:siRNA from 1 species